GGGGCAACCCCUCGAGAGUGGCGAACGUGUGAGUAAUAUAUCGGAACGUGCCCAGUCGUGGGGGAUAACGUAGCGAAAGUUACGCUAAUACCGCAUACGAUCUACGGAUGAAAGCGGGGGAUCGCAAGACCUCGCGCGAUUGGAGCGGCCGAUAUCAGAUUAGGUAGUUGGUGGGGUAAAGGCUCACCAAGCCAACGAUCUGUAGCUGGUCUGAGAGGACGACCAGCCACACUGGAACUGAGACACGGUCCAGACUCCUACGGGAGGCAGCAGUGGGGAAUUUUGGACAAUGGACGCAAGUCUGAUCCAGCCAUUCCGCGUGCAGGAUAAAGGCCCUCGGGUUGUAAACUGCUUUUGUACGGAACGAAAAGGUUUCUAUUAAUACUAGGAGCUCAUGACGGUACCGUAAGAAUAAGCACCGGCUAACUACGUGCCAGCAGCCGCGGUAAUACGUAGGGUGCAAGCGUUAAUCGGAAUUACUGGGCGUAAAGCGUGCGCAGGCGGUUAUGUAAGACAGAGGUGAAAUCCCCGGGCUCAACCUGGGAACUGCCUUUGUGACUGCAUAGCUAGAGUACGGUAGAGGGGGAUGGAAUUCCACGUGUAGCAGUGAAAUGCGUAGAUAUGCGGAGGAACACCGAUGGCGAAGGCAAUCCCCUGGACCUGUACUGACGCUCAUGCACGAAAGCGUGGGGAGCAAACAGGAUUAGAUACCCUGGUAGUCCACGCCCUAAACGAUGUCAACUGGUUGUUGGGUCUUCACUGACUCAGUAACGAAGCUAACGCGUGAAGUUGACCGCCUGGGGANUACGGCCGCAAGGUUGAAACUCNANGGAAUUGACGGGGACCCGCACAAGCGGUGGAUGAUGUGGUUUAAUUUCGGUGCAACGCGAAAAACCUUACCCNACCUUUGACAUGUACGGAANCCUUUANANAUAGAGGCGUGCUCNAAANA
rnacentral:rRNA from 1 species